GUUUAGACCAAUGGUGAACUGUGUGGGAAACCAACAGCUCUCUGCUUGGAGUGUAUGACAGCAAUGUCGAAAUUUAAAAGAAUUGACGGAAGUAUCACCACCAGGAGUGGAUCGUGCGGCUUAAUUUGAC
rnacentral:rRNA from 1 species